rnacentral:rRNA from 1 species
UACGUAGGGGGCGAGCGUUGUCCGGAGUUACUGGGCGUAAAGCGUGCGCAGGCGGUGCUGUAAGACCGAUGUGAAAUCCCCGGGCUUAACCUGGGAACUGCAUUGGUGACUGCAGCGCUGGAGUAUGGCAGAGGGGGGUGGAAUUCCACGUGUAGCAGUGAAAUGCGUAGAGAUGUGGAGGAACACCGAUGGCGAAGGCAGCCCCCUGGGCCAAUACUGACGCUCAUGCACGAAAGCGUGGGGAGCAAACAGG